rnacentral:rRNA from 1 species
ACAUAUUGUGAGCUCGAUGAGUAGGGCGGGACACGUGGUAUCCUGUCUGAAUAUGGGGGGACCAUCCUCCAAGGCUAAAUACUCCUGACUGACCGAUAGUGAACCAGUACCGUGAGGGAAAGGCGAAAAGAACCCCGGCGAGGGGAGUGAAAAAGAACCUGAAACCGUGUACGUACAAGCAGUGGGAGCCUCUUAAUGGGGUGACUGCGUACCUUUUGUAUAAUGGGUCAGCGACUUAUAUUCUGUAGCAAGGUUAACCGAAUAGGGGAGCCGAAGGGAAACCGAGUCUUAACUGGGCGUUAAGUUGCAGGGUAUAGACCCGAAACCCGGUGAUCUAGCCAUGGGCAGGUUGAAGGUUGGGUAACACUAACUGGAGGACCGAACCGACUAAUGUUGAAAAAUUAGCGGAUGACUUGUGGCUGGGGGUGAAAGGCCAAUCAAACCGGGAGAUAGCUGGUUCUCCCCGAAAGCUAUUUAGGUAGCGCCUCGUGAAUUCAUCUCCGGGGGUAGAGCACUGUUUCGGCAAGGGGGUCAUCCCGACUUACCAACCCGAUGCAAACUGCGAAUACCGGAGAAUGUUAUCACGGGAGACACACGGCGGGUGCUAACGUCCGUCGUGAAGAGGGAAACAACCCAGACCGCCAGCUAAGGUCCCAAAGUCAUGGUUAAGUGGGAAACGAUGUGGGAAGGCCCAGACAGCCAGGAUGUUGGCUUAGAAGCAGCCAUCAUUUAAAGAAAGCGUAAUAGCUCACUGGUCGAGUCGGCCUGCGCGGAAGAUGUAACGGGGCUAAACCAUGCACCGAAGCUGCGGCAGCGACACUAUGUGUUGUUGGGUAGGGGAGCGUUCUGUAAGCCUGUGAAGGUGUACUGUGAGGUAUGCUGGAGGUAUCAGAAGUGCGAAUGCUGACAUAAGUAACGAUAAAGCGGGUGAAAAGCCCGCUCGCCGGAAGACCAAGGGUUCCUGUCCAACGUUAAUCGGGGCAGGGUGAGUCGACCCCUAAGGCGAGGCCGAAAGGCGUAGUCGAUGGGAAACAGGUUAAUAUUCCUGUACUUGGUGUUACUGCGAAGGGGGGACGGAGAAGGCUAUGUUGGCCGGGCGACGGUUGUCCCGGUUUAAGCGUGUAGGCUGGUUUUCCAGGCAAAUCCGGAAAAUCAAGGCUGAGGCGUGAUGACGAGGCACUACGGUGCUGAAGCGACAAAUGCCCUGCUUCCAGGAAAAGCCUCUAAGCAUCAGGUAACAUCAAAUCGUACCCCAAACCGACACAGGUGGUCAGGUAGAGAAUACCAAGGCGCUUGAGAGAACUCGGGUGAAGGAACUAGGCAAAAUGGUGCCGUAACUUCGGGAGAAGGCACGCUGAUAUGUAGGUGAAGCGACUUGCUCGUGGAGCUGAAAUCAGUCGAAGAUACCAGCUGGCUGCAACUGUUUAUUAAAAACACAGCACUGUGCAAACACGAAAGUGGACGUAUACGGUGUGACGCCUGCCCGGUGCCGGAAGGUUAAUUGAUGGGGUUAGCGGUAACGCGAAGCUCUUGAUCGAAGCCCCGGUAAACGGCGGCCGUAACUAUAACGGUCCUAAGGUAGCGAAAUUCCUUGUCGGGUAAGUUCCGACCUGCACGAAUGGCGUAAUGAUGGCCAGGCUGUCUCCACCCGAGACUCAGUGAAAUUGAACUCGCUGUGAAGAUGCAGUGUACCCGCGGCAAGACGGAAAGACCCCGUGAACCUUUACUAUAGCUUGACACUGAACAUUGAGCCUUGAUGUGUAGGAUAGGUGGGAGGCUUUGAAGUGUGGACGCCAGUCUGCAUGGAGCCGACCUUGAAAUACCACCCUUUAAUGUUUGAUGUUCUAACGUGGGCCCCUUACCGGGGUUGCGGACAGUGUCUGGUGGGUAGUUUGACUGGGGCGGUCUCCUCCUAAAGAGUAACGGAGGAGCACGAAGGUUGGCUAAUCCUGGUCGGACAUCAGGAGGUUAGUGCAAUGGCAUAAGCCAGCUUGACUGCGAGCGUGACGGCGCGAGCAGGUGCGAAAGCAGGUCAUAGUGAUCCGGUGGUUCUGAAUGGAAGGGCCAUCGCUCAACGGAUAAAAGGUACUCCGGGGAUAACAGGCUGAUACCGCCCAAGAGUUCAUAUCGACGGCGGUGUUUGGCACCUCGAUGUCGGCUCAUCACAUCCUGGGGCUGAAGUAGGUCCCAAGGGUAUGGCUGUUCGCCAUUUAAAGUGGUACGCGAGCUGGGUUUAGAACGUCGUGAGACAGUUCGGUCCCUAUCUGCCGUGGGCGCUGGAGAACUGAGGGGGGCUGCUCCUAGUACGAGAGGACCGGAGUGGACGCAUCACUGGUGUUCGGGUUGUCAUGCCAAUGGCACUGCCCGGUAGCUAAAUGCGGAAGAGAUAAGUGCUGAAAGCAUCUAAGCACGAAACUUGCCCCGAGAUGAGUUCUCCCUGACUCCUUGAGAGUCCUGAAGGAACGUUGAAGACGACGACGUUGAUAGGCCGGGUGUGUAAGCGCAGCGAUGCGUUGAGCUAACCGGUACUAAUGAACCGUGAGGCUUAACCUUACAACGCCGAAG